UGGGGAAUAUUGGGCAAUGGGCGAAAGCCUGACCCAGCAACGCCGCGUGAGGGAAGAAGGGUUUCGGCUCGUAAACCUCUGUCCUAUGGGACGAAGGAAGUGACGGUACCAUAGGAGGAAGCCCCGGCUAACUACGUGCCAGCAGCCGCGGUAAUACGUAGGGGGCGAGCGUUGUCCGGAAUGAUUGGGCGUAAAGGGUGCGCAGGCGGGCCUGUAAGCCCGUGGUGAAAGCCUGGUGCUCAACGCCAGAGGUGCCGCGGGAACUGCAGGUCUUGAGUCGUGACGAGGGCGGCGGAAUGCGAAGUGUAGCGGUGAAAUGCUUAGAUAGUUCGCAGAACGCCGAUUGCGAAGGCAGCCGCCCAGGGACGCACUGACGCUGAGGCACGAAGGCAUGGGGAUCGAACAGGAUUAGAUACCCUGGUAGU
rnacentral:rRNA from 1 species